GAUGAACGCUGGCGGCGUGCCUAAUACAUGCAAGUCGAGCGAACGGACGAGAAGCUUGCUUUUCUGAUGUUAGCGGCGGACGGGUGAGUAACACGUGGAUAACCUACCUAUAAGACUGGGAUAACUUCGGGAAACCGGAGCUAAUACCGGAUAAUAUUUUGAACCGCAUGGUUCAAUAGUGAAAGACGGUUUUGCUGUCACUUAUAGAUGGAUCCGCGCUGCAUUAGCUAGUUGGUAAGGUAACGGCUUACCAAGGCAACGAUGCAUAGCCGACCUGAGAGGGUGAUCGGCCACACUGGAACUGAGACACGGUCCAGACUCCUACGGGAGGCAGCAGUAGGGAAUCUUCCGCAAUGGGCGAAAGCAUGACGGAGCAACGCCGCGUGAGUGAUGAAGGUCUUCGGAUCGUAAAACUCUGUUAUUAGGGAAGAACAAAUGUGUAAGUAACUGUGCACAUCUUGACGGUACCUAAUCAGAAAGCCACGGCUAACUACGUG
rnacentral:rRNA from 1 species